UACGUAGGGGGCAAGCGUUGUCCGGAUUUAUUGGGCGUAAAGAGCGUGUAGGCGGCCAGGUAGGUCUGCUGUGAAAACUCGAGGCUUAACCUCGAGCUGUCGGCGGAAACCAUCUGGCUAGAGUCCGGAAGAGGAGAAUGGAAUUCCCGGUGUAGCGGUGAAAUGCGUAGAUAUCGUAAGGAAGACCAGUGGCGAAGGCGAGUUCCUGGACAGUUACUGACACUGAGGCACGAAAGCUAGGGGAGCAAACGGG
rnacentral:rRNA from 1 species